GGGCCCCUAGCUCAUCUGGCAGAGCUCCGGACUUUUAAUCCGGCGGGCAGGGUUCGAGUCCCUGGGGGCCCACCA
rnacentral:tRNA from 1 species